UGUAGUCUCGCACAGAUGCAUAUCAAUAAGCGGAGGAAAAGAAACUAACAAGGAUUCCCCUAGUAACGGCGAGUGAAGCGGGAAGAGCUCAAAUUUGAAAUCUUAAAGGGUUUCCCUUUACGAAUUGUAGUUUAAAGAAGUGUUUUCUGUUGAGGUUUUGGUAAAAGUUCUUUGGAAUAGGACAUCAUAGAGGGUGAGAAUCCCGUAUUUGACCUUUACUUUCAACUUUGUGAUACACUUUCAAAGAGUCGGAUUGUUUGGGAAUGCAGUCCAAAAUGGGUGGUAAAUUUCAUCUAAAGCUAAAUAUUGGCGAGAGACCGAUAGCGAACAAGUACCGUGAGGGAAAGAUGAAAAGAACUUUGAAAAGAGAGUUAAACAGUACGUGAAAUUGUCAAAAGGGAAGCGUUUGACACCAGUGUUGUUUUUCUGAAAAUCAAUUAAAGAACUGUUUAUGCUAAGUUGUUUAGACUUUAUCAGCUAACUGUUUAGUUUUGAGCUUUUCUUUAAUGCACUUUUCAGUUAACAAGUCAACAUCAAUUUCUUUUGCUGUAAAAAAGCUUGAGGAAGGUGGCUUGAGAUUCGUCUUAAGUGUUUAUAGCCUCUUGCCUAUGCAGUCGGAGAGAUUGAGGUCUGCAGCGUAGAUCCUUCGGGGCUAAAUGCAUUUGUGCUAAGUUAUAGCAUUUCAUAGACAACUUGUUGACUAUGAUUUGUCUUGUAGCUUACUCGCUUAUGUUAUUUUACCUACGCUUAGGAUGUUGACAGCAGUAUAGACUGU
rnacentral:rRNA from 1 species